rnacentral:rRNA from 1 species
AGAGUUUGAUCCUGGCUCAGGAUGAACGCUAGCUACAGGCUUAACACAUGCAAGUCGAGGGGCAGCAUGGUCUUAGCUUGNUAACCGGCCGAUGGCGACCGGCGCACGGGUGAGUAACACGUAUCCAACCUGCCGUCUACUCUUGGACAGCCUUCUGAAAGGAAGAUUAAUACAAGAUGGCAUCAUGAGUUCACAUGUUCACAUGAUUAAAGGCUUUCCGGUAGACGAUGGGGAUGCGUUCCAUUAGAUAGUAGGCGGGGUAACGGCCCACCUAGUCUUCGAUGGAUAGGGGUUCUGAGAGGAAGGUCCCCCACAUUGGAACUGAGACACGGUCCAAACUCCUACGGGAGGCAGCC